AGAUAGUUAAAGCAAGAUUGUCUCACCUGCGACAUGCAAAUUUGUCACCCAUGCAGCUUGGUGUACCAGCUCAAUACCACACACCACUUCCGGCAGCUGUUGUGGAACUUGCAUCAUUAGCUAGUAUUGAGAGUGCCAUUGGCCGACUGCAGUGUGUUAGUGCUACCACAGAAUCAUCCAAGCUUCGGCAAAAGAAGCUUGUCUUACCUUCAUCAGUACAAAGACCAAGAUGGGGAACCAGAAUUAACCAUGACACGUGAGGAGCUGGUGGCACUUCUAGCAACUGUUGUGGUUCAGGCACAGUGCUCCAAUUUGGUUGCCAAUAUCUACUACAUGACUCAUUUUGUGUUUUCUGUUACUGAGGAUGACCC